UGGGUAACCUGCCUCAAAGAGGGGAAUAGCCUCCCGAAAGGGAGAUUAAUACCGCAUAAUAUGUUUAAGUCGCAUGAUUUAACAUCAAAGGAUUUUCUUUAGAAAUUCCACUUUGAGAUGGACCCGCGGCGCAUUAGCUAGUUGGUGAGGUAACGGCUCACCAAGGCAACGAUGCGUAGCCGACCUGAGAGGGUNAUCGGCCACAUUGGAACUGAGACACGGCCCAGCUCC
rnacentral:rRNA from 1 species